GAAGUGCUUGCCAUCUUAAGGCCCAAAAACUACAAUUCUUACAGAAAUCUGUAAUGUUGCAUGUCAAAGGUUUUCAAUCACAUCUGUGCGACUUCUUACAGGGUUCCUACAGAGAUCAGCUAACAUCAGAGCCUUCAGGGCCAGGGGACAGCGAUGGAGCGACGGGGCCAUUGACAGUGACAGGCAUGGUUCACUCACCCUCGUCCUCUGUUCAGUCGGCUGGGCUCAUCCUCCAGUCCUCUCUUCCUCGGACUUCCCCCACAGUGUCCUCCCUGUUCUCCCUCGCUUCCUCGGCCCCAGUGUUCCCCCGGUCCUCUGGUCCCAGUCUCCUCUGUUCCCUGUGCCUGUGUUUCCCCGCCAUCCACCUCUCCCUCGACUCCAGUCCCUCACCCCCUUUUCCCAAUAAAACCUGUCAAAACUGAA